rfam:Drosophila sechellia strain Rob3c scaffold_10180 genomic scaffold, whole genome shotgun sequence.
GACUGUCUAUUAAAACAAAGCAUUGUGAUGGCCCUAGCGGGUGUUGACACAAUGUGAUUUCUGCCCGGUGCUCUGAAUGUCAAAGUGAAGAAAUUCAAGUAAGCGCGGGUCAACGGCGGGAGUAACUAUGACUCUCUUAAGGUAGCCAAAUGCCUCGUCAUCAAAUUAGUGACGCGCAUGAAUGGAUUAACGAGAUUCCUACUGUCCCUAUCUACUAUCUAGCGAAACCACAGCCAAGGGAACGGGCUUGGAAUAAUUAGCGGGGAAAGAAGACCCUUUUGAGCUUGACUCUUAUCUGGCAGUGUAAGGAGACAUAAGAGGUGUAGAAUAAGUGGGAGAUAUUAGACCUCGGUUUGGUAUCGUCAAUGAAAUACCACUACUCUUAUUGUUUCCUUACUUACUUGAUUAAAUGGAACGUGUAUCAUUUCCUAGCCAUUAUACGGAUAUAUUUAUUAUAUCUUAUGGUAUUGGGUUUUGAUGCAAGCUUCUUGAUCAAAGUAUCACGAGUUUGUUAUAUAAUCGCAAACAAAUUCUUUAAUAAAACGAUGCAUUUAUGUAUUUUUGAUUUGAAAAUUUGGUAUAACUCCAAUUACUCAGGUAUGAUCCAAUUCAAGGACAUUGCCAGGUAGGGAGUUUGACUGGGGCGGUACAUCUCUCAAAUAAUAACGGAGGUGUCCCAAGGCCAGCUCAGUGCGGACAGAAACCACACAUAGAGCAAAAGGGCAAAUGCUGACUUGAUCUCGGUGUUCAGUACACACAGGGACAGCAAAAGCUCGGCCUAUCGAUCCUUUUGGUUUAAAGAGUUUUUAACAAGAGGUGUCAGAAAAGUUACCAUAGGGAUAACUGGCUUGUGGCGGCCAAGCGUUCAUAGCGACGUCGCUUUUUGAUCCUUCGAUGUCGGCUCUUCCUAUCAUUGUGAAGCAAAAUUCACCAAGCGUUGGAUUGUUCACCCAUGCAAGGGAACGUGAGCUGGGUUUAGACCGUCGUGAGACAGGUUAGUUUUACCCUACUAAUGACAAAACGUUGUUGCGACAGCAUUCCUGCGUAGUACGAGAGGAACCGCAGGUACGGACCAAUGGCACAAUACUUGUUCGAGCGAACAGUGGUAUGACGCUACGUCCGUUGGAUUAUGCCUGAACGCCUCUAAGGUCGUAUCCGUGCUGGACUGCAAUGAUAAAUAAGGGGGCAAUUUGCAUUGUAUGGCUUCUAAACCAUUUAAAGGUUAUAAUUUAUUUUAAUAAACGACAAUGGAUGUGAUGCAAUGUAAUUUGUAACAUAGUAAAUUAGGAGGAUCUUCGAUCACUGAUGCGCGCUAGUUACAUAUAAAGCAUUAUUUAAUACAUGACAAGCUAGAUCAAUUGUAAACGACUUUGUAACAGGCAGUGUGGAAGUGGUGAGCAG